rnacentral:rRNA from 1 species
UACAGAGGGUGCAAGCGUUAAUCGGAUUUACUGGGCGUAAAGCGUGCGUAGGCGGCUCGCUAAGUCGGUUGUGAAAUCCCUGGGCUUAACCUGGGAACUGCAGUCGAUACUGGCGGACUAGAGUACGGUAGAGGGUGGCGGAACUCCGGGUGUAGCGGUGAAAUGCGUAGAUAUCCGGAAGAACACCGAUGGCGAAGGCAACCACCUGGGCCUGUACUGACGCUGAGGUACGAAAGCGUGGGGAGCAAACAGGAUUAGAUACCCUGGUAGUCCACGCUGUAAACGAUGAGAACUUGACGUCGGUUCGCCUAGCGAAUCGGUGUCGUAGCUAACGCGCUAAGUUCUCCGCCUGGGGAGUACGGCCGCAAGGUUGAA